CCAGUAACACGUAGUCAACAUGCCCAGGGGACGUGGAUAACCUCGGGAAACUGAGGAUAAACCGCGAUAGGUCACUACUUCUGGAAUGGGUAAUGACCCAAACCUAUAUGGCCCCUGGAUUGGACUGCGGCCGAUCAGGCUGUUGGUGAGGUAAUGGCCCACCAAACCUGUAACCGGUACGGGCUCUGAGAGGAGGGGCCCGGAGAUGGGCACUGAGACAAGGGCCCAGGCCCUAUGGGGCGCAGCAGGCGCGAAACCUCUGCAAUAGGCGAAAGCUUGACAGGGUUACUCUGAGUGAUUUCCGUUAAGGAGAUCUUUUGGCACCUCUAAAAAUGGUGCAGAAUAAGGGGUGGGCAAGUCUGGUGCCAGC
rnacentral:rRNA from 1 species